rnacentral:lncRNA from 1 species
CAAACAUGGCGGACGGUCUGCUCAGAAUCAGCUGAAUGAAUAUAUGGAUANAGUGUAACUCAUGAUAGCACCAUUAGAUGUUUUGGGAGGAGCCCACUGCAGCAGAACAUAAGAGGCGUUCUGCACAACCAAAGUCAGGUGUCCUCAGAGGGCCCACGAUGCUACUUCCCGGACCGUCCCCAAGACUAUUGUACGCUAGAACCUGGAAACGGUACGACGUGAAGGCAUCGAGUUGAAGCACUGCUGUCGCGCGUACAGUGGACUUAAACUUUGCCUUUCUUGGGCGGUAGUCGAAGUCAUCAGUCCAGAAGUACACCUGGUAGAACAAAACAUGAGUUACGAUAUCAAUCUAUAAUUGCGCAGUCAAGCUACGGUAGAUGUUUCCGCAAAUCACAAAAGAAAGUUCCCUUGCUCCCGGACUACACAAGAGAACAAAAACUGCUGAGAACUAAGAGAAAAAAAAGCAAAAAGCAUAGGAGAGAACCAACAUCUACCUCUACUAACAACAGACGCAGCGCAUUAACAUGGCACACCACCCCCUUUACCUGAGAGACACAAACUUGGAACACAGAUUUGGAUUUCUCGUCUUAUGAGAGAGUAUAGGAUGCAUUGCUACCUGCAACUUACCGCAUGCUUUUAAAAAGAGUACAAGGAGUAGACAGAACGAGAUCAUCUUUUACCAGCACAAGAUAAGCCAUGGAAAGAAAAGAAGAAGUAAAAAAGAAAAUGCGAAGUAACGGUCGCACAUGGUCUAAGAUGUUAUCUAAAGUCCAAGAAUUUUGGGUAGCAGUAACUUCACAGCCUAAUCUACGGUCUGAGACAUUUGUGAGAGUUUACGCUAUAAGGCGUCGCGGCCAUGCGAUGGAAUCCACACCCUGAUCGACAACGAUUUGUAAGGUACACUGAGUUAUAAUCAUUAAUUUUGAAAUGCGCCGAUUUUUCGAUGACAGCGUAAGUUUACUAAGCAGCUUCUAGUCAAUUUUCCCAUCGUUUAUGGUGGUCAUCCAAAACCUGAUUGCUAUCAUAAUCCAUCAGGAUUAUUGAUAUAUCGCAUGAACUUUUUAAAAGGCGUAUCAAUUUUGGCAUUCAGCUGUGUAAUUAUCUCCAAACGAUAAGAAAAAUAAACUCACAACCAUUUAAGAAUGUCUAUAAGAAUGUCAAGGCUUGUUUAAAAUUGGCAAGUGAUAUGCUAAUGCACCGCUAGUUUGUAGUUGCCUAAAAAUAAUCAAGCCCAGCUACUUGACUCUCUAAAGCUGUUAGUUCAAAGAAUGAUCUACAGAUCUGGCGCUCUGAUCUUCACCUUUAUUUGCAAACACGUACCCGGAGCCAAGGGUUCUCGGUAAGAGAUUGCUUUAUUUGUUUGGACGUGGCACACNAGAUUUUGUGAUCAGGUGUGCGGCACACCUUUGAGCAGUCAGUAAUAUCCCAAAAAAAUCGUUUAUUUUAGCUGUAUGUUUGAAAUACCGUAACCUUGUGCAAAAAGGAUAUCUCUGACAGAUCUUAUAACGAUUUUAAAAUCGGUUAUUUGAUUUUGCGCAACACAAAGCCAAUCAUUGAUAACAAAGUCAUAUGUAUACUCUUUGUGGUAUUUAGUUCUCAUGCGCAAUGAUGGCAUAUAUCUUGUGGUAUUCAUGUUUAAAAAAUUUGCAAAGAAACUUCAGAAUAAACUGAUGAAUUUCAAAAGUGACACUCGUUUUAGAAAAUGGCUUACUUAUUCACAUAAUCCAAUCACAAUUUUAGAAUGUCGAUCUUUCGAAGCAGAACAUCAAUAAAAACUGACUUCG